rnacentral:lncRNA from 1 species
UUUUCGCAGGGAUGUCAGAUACCAUUCCAUCCCCUGCUGACUGCAGAAGUCUGGCAGACCCUGAGCGCAGCAACAGUCCUGCACCCUGCAGUCUAAAAACAGUGGCCUCCCAGGCUGCCUGCAGCAUUUGGGUAAGCAGUAGCCAGGCGGGAAGAAACAACCAGAUUUAAAGUCUGACACCUGAAAUCAAAAGCUCUUUUACAAUUUUUAUCAACUGCCCGGGAACGUUGCUCUGUUUCCGUUUCGGGCGACUCACACAGGCCUGGCUGGCCCUAGUUUAUGCUAGGAUAUAGGAAGUUCAGCGCUUCUUCCCAGCAAGCCAAGAAGUGUGGGCUAGGGUGAAAGGCACUGUCACAGCCUCCCACCCUCUCCUGUCCCCACUGCCCCUCCACGGCCUAGGGCGCCUUGGACGGAUCGCAUGCCAUUUCCUGCAUGCGGCUGCGGCACUAAUUGAAAAUUUGGGUGGCCUUGCUUAUUUAUUUUCCUGGAAUGCGGCGGGUUAUAUUUUCAUGGCAUUUUCUCAGCAGUGCAAGCGGUUCAGUUUCAACUACAGCAAAAGAAGAAAAGCCAGUGCCGAGUCAGCUGUAGGCGCAGGAGACUGGCUCUGCGUUAGUCUGGCUUCAGCUGUUCCCGGAGACUGCAGAGCCCUCACUCGGUCCGCACGGAUUCCUCUCCGCCUGGGGACUCGGUGACAGGCUCGUAGCCCUGCCAAACGCCAGCCAAAGAAGGAGCUGCCACCACUUAACAGCUCUUCAUAAAACGCACGGGCCCUGAUUUCUAUCCGUUUAAUAUUAAGAAGCAGGGCUUAUUUCAGCAUCCUGUCCCGCUGAGGUUGGUACAAGUCAUGGCACUACACACAUUCUCCAAG